rnacentral:lncRNA from 1 species
UUCCCUUCAACUUCUCCAAACAUGCAGACUUCAACUAGGCAAUACACAUAUACUCACGUAUAUGUUCACAGGGGUCCAAAACUAUCUAAUAACCCCAAACAACAAAACAACAUAACACAUAAACAUGUAUACAUGCAUAACUCAUCAAAAUCACUUAACAUGCAGCUCUCUCUUCACAACUCCCAUAAAACCUUCAGAAAACACAUAAAAACAUAUUCAAAAACAUCACUUACCUCCUGGUGAGUGAUCUAAACAAAGGAAAACGGAUCAACUCUUCUUCACCCUCACUAACUCUCCAAAGCUCACGAUUUGC